CACAUGCAAGUCGAACGAGCGAGAGAGAGCUUGCUUUCUCAAGCGAGUGGCGAACGGGUGAGUAACGCGUGAGGAACCUGCCUCAAAGAGGGGGACAACAGUUGGAAACGACUGCUAAUACCGCAUAAGCCCACGACCCGGCAUCGGGUUGAGGGGAAAGGAGUAAUCCGCUUUGAGAUGGCCUCGCGUCCGAUUAGCUAGUUGGUGAGGUAACGGCCCACCAAGGCGACGAUCGGUAGCCGGACUGAGAGGUUGAACGGCCACAUUGGGACUGAGACACGGCCCAGACUCCUACGGGAGGCAGCAGUGGGGAAUAUUGCACAAUGGGGGAAACCCUGAUGCAGCGACGCCGCGUGGAGGAAGAAGGUCUUCGGAUUGUAAACUCCUGUUGUUGGGGAAGAUAAUGACGGUACCCAACAAGGAAGUGACGGCUAACUACGUGCCAGCAGCCGCGGUAAAACGUAGGUCACAAGCGUUGUCCGGAAUUACUGGGUGUAAAGGGAGCGCAGGCGGGAAGACAAGUUGGAAGUGAAAUCCAUGGGCUCAACCCAUGAACUGCUUUCAAAACUGUUUUUCUUGAGUAGUGCAGAGGUAGGCGGAAUUCCCGGUGUAGCGGUGGAAUGCGUAGAUAUCGGGAGGAACACCAGUGGCGAAGGCGGCCUACUGGGCACCAACUGACGCUGAGGCUCGAAAGUGUGGGUAGCAAACAGGAUUAGAUACCCUGGUAGUCCACACCGUAAACGAUGAUUACUAGGUGUUGGAGGAUUGACCCCUUCAGUGCCGCAGUUAACACAAUAAGUAAUCCACCUGGGGAGUACGACCGCAAGGUUGAAACUCAAAGGAAUUGACGGG
rnacentral:rRNA from 1 species